CAACGUUUAAGAAACAUUUCGACAGGUGCAUGGAAAGGACCGAUUCGGAUGGAUAUGGGCGAAACACGAGCAGGGGCGACUAGUGCGGAUG